rnacentral:rRNA from 1 species
UACGUAGGGUGCGAGCGUUAAUCGGAAUUACUGGGCGUAAAGCGUGCGCAGGCGGUUUUGUAAGUCAGAUGUGAAAUCCCCGGGCUUAACCUGGGAACUGCGUUUGAAACUACAAGGCUAGAGUGUAGCAGAGGGGGGUGGAAUUCCACGUGUAGCAGUGAAAUGCGUAGAGAUGUGGAGGAACACCGAUGGCGAAGGCAGCCCCCUGGGUUAACACUGACGCUCAGGCACGAAAGCGUGGGGAGCAAACAGGAUUAGAUACCCGCGUAGUCC